rnacentral:rRNA from 1 species
UUCGCAAUGCCCGAAAGGGUGACGAAGCGACGCCGCGUGGGUGAGGAAGGCCUUCGGGUUGUAAAGCCCUGUCAGGAGUUAAGAAAUGUAAGUGCGCUAAUAUCGCAUUUAUUUGACGAAGGCUCCAAAGGAAGCCACGGCUAACUCUGUGCCAGCAGCCGCGGUAAUACAGAGGUGGCAAGCGUUGUUCGGAAUUAUUGGGCGUAAAGAGCACGUAGGUGGGUUUGUAAGUCAGAUGUGAAAGCCUUCUGUUCAACGGAAGAAUUGCAUCUGAAACUGCGAGUCUUGAGUGUAGGAGGGGAGAAUGGAACUUCUGGUGGAGCGGUGAAAUGCGUAGAUAUCAGAAGGAACGCCGGCGGCGAAAGCGAUUCUCUGGCCUAUUACUGACACUCAGUGUGCGAAAGCUAGGGGAGCAAACGGGAUUAGAUACCCCGGUAGUCCUAGCCGUAAACGAUGGGCACUAAGUAGA